GGAUGGAUAUCUGAGCGGUUGAAAGAGUCGGUCUUGAAAACCGAAGUAUUUUUCAAAAUACCCAGAGUUCGAAUCCCUCUCCAUCUU
rnacentral:tRNA from 1 species